GACGAACGCUGGCGGCGUGCCUAAUACAUGCAAGUAGAACGCUGAAGGAGGAGCUUGCUCUUCUGGAUGAGUUGCGAACGGGUGAGUAACGCGUAGGUAACCUGCCUGGUAGCGGGGGAUAACUAUUGGAAACGAUAGCUAAUACCGCAUAAGAGUAGAUGUUGCAUGACAUUUACUUAAAAGGUGCAAUUGCAUCACUACCAGAUGGACCUGCGUUGUAUUAGCUAGUUGGUGGGGUAACGGCUUACCAAGGCGACGAUACAUAGCCGACCUGAGAGGGGGGACGGCCACACUGGGAAUGAGACAGGGCCCAGGCUCAUGCGGGAGGCAGCAGUAGGGAAUGUUCGGCAAUGGUCGGAAGUCUGACCGAGCAACGCCGCGUGAGUGAAGGAGGGUUUCGGAUCGUAAAGCUCUGUUGUAAGAGAAGAACGAGUGGGGGAGUGGAAAGGUCACACUGUGACGGUAUCUUACCAGAAAGGAACGGCUAACUACGUG
rnacentral:rRNA from 1 species